UGGAUGUUCUCGGACGUUCAAAGCUACAUCCAACAAAUUGGUAGCUUUGUACUCCGAUGCCAUUCAGA
rnacentral:pre_miRNA from 1 species